CGCGCCGUAUUAAGAAGCAUUUAAAUAAAAAUACCGACGGGAAUCGUGUCGUGUGUUUUGCGAGACUCGCUAUUUUUUUCAAAGAAAAGAAAAAGAAAAGUGUUUCCUAUUUUUUAUUUCGCCCGUCAGGAUCGAUACGAUGGUGUCUUUGAGUGAUGUACGACCGCUUUUGCAUACCGCGAGUUUGUUCGGAUGCGGAUUGUACGUUAUCAGCGAGGAUGAUAUCGUGAUGAUGAAAUACAGUGUCGUUUACUCUGGCCUGUUCGCGUUGAUGUAUACUAGUUUCUGUAUAAUGAAUUUUUAUAUGCUUUGGAUGGACGAUGUGUUGGAUCCGAGGCUUUUGAUGCUCACCGUCCUCAGAACGAUACUCUGUUACGCUUGCGUCUUGACCGACAUUGCGAUGACUUUGUGGUAUAACUGGAAAAUACGAGCUGCACUCUCGCAAUUACGCAUCUUCGAUCGAGCGACAAAAUGCAAGGAGGGUAAACGCUCUUGCCGAAUACGUUACGUCUGUUGGGUUUUGUCCUUCGUGAUUUUAUUGUUUUGGUCGAUAGUCGGAUACAUAACAUCUCAACUUAAACCUACUUCGUACUUUAAUGAUCUUCAUCGUGUAACAAUGCCGUCAUUCACAAUUUCAUCAUCCGUAGAGUCGAGCCCAGAUAUUCUGUAUUCAAUGGUCUAACUUACGCCGUCGUUAAUGCGACAAUGUCGAUGCAACUGAUAACGUUUGCCAGCCUGUCAUCCCUGCUGUACGAGAGAUUUCACCGUCUCUGUGAAAUAUUACUACUACCUGAAGAUGGCAAAAUCAUGGUGAUGGAUCGAUUGAGCAGGCAGUUUCGCUUGCAAGAGGUAUGGUGGUUACACUCGUGUCUCACCAACGGGACUGAAAUGAUAAAUUCCGUAUACGCGGUGCAGCUUUUGCUGUGGAUCUCCAGCAUGUCUUUCAAUACCCUAACGCGCAUUUAUACGAUCAACGAUGGUGGUGCGACUUCGCAUCCGUUAUUGAUAAUAAGGGAAGUAAUGUUGGUAUCCGCUUGCGUAACAAAUUUAUUGAUCAUCAGCAUCAUUUGUCACGCGACCGCGAAUCAGGCAAAUCGCGUCGGCAAGAUUGCCUUCGCUCCGUCAUCGACUGUUCUUGCGAAGCGAAAUUUUAUGCAGGACUGCAAUGUGGAAGCUGUAACGUAUUUUCAACUACAACAAGUGCACUACUAUGCCUUCUUCGGAAUUAUACGCAUCGAUCUUCCAUUGCUACUCUCAAUAGCCUCUGGUAUAACUACAUAUCUAGUGAUUCUUCAUAGCGCUAAUAUCUAGCAUAAUCUUCAGGAUACAACGUUAUGUUUGUGCGAUCAAUCGAUCGAUCGAUCGAUUUAUCGUUCGACCACUAAUUCCAGCCUCAUCUCUUCUCACGGCUUUAAUGAAUCAGCGAUCAAUAACAUGUUGAAAGAAAGGAUGCGGAGCCUCGUUUUUACGUAAAAGGCAACUUUGUGAAGGGGAGAACAAGUGUUUGCCUGUAACAGAAUACACUUGAAAUUUGGCCGCGGCUCUUUUGCAUUGAGAGCACGUUGUGACAACGGCAACACGAGUCGCAAGCGCGCGACAUGUCGUUUCGUUCAUCGAUCGGCCGGCAGCGGAUGCUGAAAAAGCGUCAAUAUCGUUCCUCUGUUGUGUACAAUACGGUGGUAAUGGUUAGUAAUUUACUUGGAACAACGGCGGUAAUCGCGGGGGCUUCCUACGUUCGCAUCGCAAAAAAACACUCGGCAACUCGAAGAAUUUGCGGAUUACCGCGAUUAUAUAUAACGGAUGAUUUUUUUUACUUGAAGAACUCUUAUAAACUGCAAAAACUCGAAGAAACCUGGUGAAUACUCUUGAGACGUAAUACUCGAAAAGGCGUAUUUGGUACAAUGAGAAUUGCAAAGACUUCAGAAUCCAUUUUCGCUUCCUGCGAGUUGACGCUUUCAAUGGCUUAAAGUAGGAAAGAUUGAGAAGGAUGUUGAAUGUAUUUGUGGAAAAGAAGGAUCGUACGUUCUUAAUGCUGAACGUACCUCGCUGACAGUUGGAAAAUAUAACCAUUGA